UGCCUCCCUUCUUAAAACGACUUCGGUUUUAUAAUUCUUCGUAUUCCUAUCCAGGAGGGUUCUCCCCCUUGAGGCUUUCUUAAUCGUCCUCACCCGACGAGCUUAACAAUUCAUUCUAAGGUUUCCCCAGAUCUUGGGAACAGGUGCGGAGCUGGGAAAGGCGCGGCUGCUUUGGUGAGUGGUGUGGACGGUGGAAGCCCGUGUCCGGGCGGCCCCUUCCUCCUACCAGCCCAAGCCCUUGCCCUUGGGGCCUCCGCUAACUGCUUCUCUAUGACGGGUGGUGGUUUGGGAACGGGGGUGAAAAUCUGCCCCGACUGGCUAGUCUUGCCGAGUCGGUGUCUUCUGCUACGGAAAGGUCUAGAAUCCAGCUGGACACACUAGCAUCCUACUGGCUGGCCCCAGAUGUCCGAUCCUAAGAGGGUCACGGGGUCCCAGCCACCCACCCCGCCUGACAGUGGAGGUACGGAGCUGAGGUCCCCCAGCCACCCCCCGCAGUGUGGCCCAGCUUGAGACCAGGAGCCCGGGUUGGAACAAGGCCUGCCUCCUCAGUGGCUGCGUGCCCCCUGCUCUUGCUUUGCGCUCGAAGGUACCCAAUCUGGCCCGCUGAGUCUCCCUCUCGGCGGCGCGCUCCUAGAGGGCAGAGCUGGCGUCCCAGGCGUGCGUGUCCCCAGCACCCAGCCCCGGGGGGCUGACAGGAAAGCCGCCUGGGGAGACAUUCAGUGGUUGACCAGAAGGACAGCACGACAGACAACAGCUGGGAGUCUUGGGUCCACAUCACCCAGGCCACCUGCCAAGGAAAACUGGAACCUCCAGCCAGCCCCACACCCACUUGUCCUGUUUCCUUUCUUUACAAAACAGGAUCACACCGUACAUACUCAUUAGCCUGGUUUUGUUUUGUUUUGUUUUCCCCUCACUUAACAUGGGAUGAGAACUUGCCAACAUCGUGACGUUUUUUGAAAAUACGGUUGAUAAAUGAAUACUAUUCUGUCUCUGGAUUUGCCGCACUGGGCUCGCACCACCCCCUUCCUUUUGGGAGGCAACUCUCCUACAAUCGUCAUCGUCCAAUGGAAUUGCAGUAAGCAUCCUAGCAGCUGAACGUUUCCCAGGGAAGGUGGUCCUGUCGUCAUUACGCUCCUGUCGUGAGUGUCCUUUAGACCGACUGACAGGUCAUCGCUGCUGACAGGAGAGUCCGGUGGGGUUUUUAUUGGGCCACCUCACGGAGCACGGGGUAGCCUGUGCGGCUUUUCAAGUGACCCCUUCGGGGUUUCACGGCGCCCAGCAGCAUCUCCAUUGAAUGGCGACUGUCUGCCUCCAGAACAGAUGCAGUGCGCCACCCAAGCUCCCGUCCGGGGCCGAAGCGCUCACUGACCCGGCGCUGGGGGCGUCGGUGGCCGACCCUCUCGGGCAGUUCUGCAGAUGAAGGCACCGUCUCACCGCGGCCCUGCUUCCUUCCCUGUGGCUGCAUACACGCAAGGGCUGGUCCACACGGGGUGACCCCAGAGCCCCCCGCGGACUGCCCGGCCUGGAGACCGUGACCACACCGGCUUCUCCCCGACCGGUCCUGCUCCCUUCCCUCCCCGCUGGCGUUGACCUGGAGACCGCUUCCCAGUAAACGUCUCGCAGGCGAA